GAUGGACGCUGGCGGCGUGCCUAAUACAUGCAAGUCGAGCGAACGGACGAGAAGCUUGCUUCUCUGAUGUUAGCGGCGGACGGGUGAGUAACACGUGGAUAACCUACCUAUAAGACUGGGAUAACUUCGGGAAACCGGAGCUAAUACCGGAUAAUAUUUUGAACCGCAUGGUUCAAAAGUGAAAGACGGUCCUGCUGUCACUUAUAGAUGGAUCCGCGCUGCAUUAGCUAGUUGGUAAGGUAACAGCUUACCAAGGCAACGAUGCAUAGCCGACCUGAGAGGGUGAUCGGCCACACUGGAACUGAGACACGGUCCAGACUCCUACGGGAGGCAGCAGUAGGGAAUCUUCCGCAAUGGGCGAAAGCCUGACGGAGCAACGCCGCGUGAGUGAUGAAGGUCUUCGGAUCGUAAAACUCUGUUAUUAGGGAAGAACAUAUGUGUAAGUAACUGUGCACAUCUUGACGGUACCUAAUCAGAAAGCCACGGCUAACUACGUG
rnacentral:rRNA from 1 species